GCGGGUAUGGCGGAAUUGGCAGACGCGCAAGACUAAGGAUCUUGUGGAGAAUUAUCUCCGUGGAGGUUCAAGUCCUCUUACCCGCA
rnacentral:tRNA from 1 species